rnacentral:rRNA from 1 species
GACCUGCGGAGGAUCAUUAUCGUAGGGCUUCGGCCCUGUCGAGAUAGAACCCUUGCCUUUUUGAGUACCUUUCGUUUCCUCGGCAGCCUCGGCUGCCAAUGGGGACCCCAAAAAACACUUUGCAGUACCUGUAACAGUCUGAACAAACAAACAAAAAUUAAAACUUUCAACAACGGAUCUCUUGGUUCUGGCAUCGAUGAAGAACGCAGCGAAAUGCGAUAAGUAGUGUGAAUUGCAGAAUUCAGUGAAUCAUCGAAUCUUUGAACGCACAUUGCGCCCUUUGGUAUUCCUUAGGGCAUGCCUGUUCGAGCGUCAUUUAAACCUUCAAGCUCAGCUUGGUGUUGGGUGACUGUCCGCCGCCUCCGGGCGCGUGGACUCGCCUCAAAAUUAUUGGCGGCCGGUACAUUGGCUUCGAGCGCAGCAGAAACGCGAACUCGGGCCCGACGUAGCGGCGACCACAAGUCUAUUCAUCACUUUGACCUCGGAUCAGGUAGGGAUACCCGCUGAACUUAAGCAUAUCAAUAAGCGGAGGA